GACGAACGCUGGCGGCGUGCCUAAUACAUGCAAGUAGGACGCAGUUGCGAACGGGUGAGUAACGCGUAGGUAACUACCUAUUAGAGGGGGAUAACUAUUGGAAACGAUAGCUAAUACCGCAUACUAGUAGAUGGACCUGCGUUGUAUUAGCUAGUAGGUAGGGGAAUGGCCCACCUAGGCAACGAUACAUAGCCGAGCUGGGAGGGUGGUCGGCAAAACGGGGACUGAGGAAAGGGCCAGACUCCUACGGGAGGGAGCAGUAGGGAAUCGUUGGCAAUGGGGGGAACCCUGAACGAGCAACGCCGCGGGAGUGAAGAAAGGUUUCGGAUCGUAAAGCUAUGUUAUUAAGGAAGCGGUACUUAACCAGAAAGGGACGGCUAACUACGUGCCAGCAGCCGCGGUAAUAC
rnacentral:rRNA from 1 species